CGUUCUGUAAGCCUGCGAAGGUGGCCUGUGAGGGUUGCUGGAGGUAUCAGAAGUGCGAAUGCUGACAUAAGUAACGAUAAAGCGGGUGAAAAGCCCGCUCGCCGGAAGACCAAGGGUUCCUGUCCAACGUUAAUCGGGGCAGGGUGAGUCGACCCCUAAGGCGAGGCCGAAAGGCGUAGUCGAUGGGAAACGGGUUAAUAUUCCCGUACUUGGUGUUACUGCGAAGGGGGGACGGAGAAGGCUAUGUUGGCCGGGCGACGGUUGUCCCGGUUUAAGCGUGUAGGUGUGUGUUCCAGGUAAAUCCGGUUCACUUUAACACUGAGGCGUGAUGACGAGGCACUACGGUGCUGAAGCAACAAAUGCCCUGCUUCCAGGAAAAGCCUCUAAGCAUCAGGUAACAUCAAAUCGUACCCCAAACCGACACAGGUGGUCAGGUAGAGAAUACCAAGGCGCUUGAGAGAACUCGGGUGAAGGAACUAGGCAAAAUGGUGCCGUAACUUCGGGAGAAGGCACGCUGACAC
rnacentral:rRNA from 1 species